GACGAACGCUGGCGGCGUGCUUAACACAUGCAAGUCGAACGAAGUGGCGAACGGGAGAGUAACGCGUAAUCAACCUGCCCUUCAGAGGGGGACAACAGGUGGAAACGACUGCUAAUACCGCAUACUGACGGAGGGGAUUGCGUCGGGUUGGUGAGUUGGAGAGGUAACGGCCCACCAAGGGGCUGAUAGGUAGCGGGGAUGAGAGGAUCAGCGGCGCGGUGGGGACUGAGACGCGGCCCAGACUCCUACGGACGGCAACAGUGGGGAAUCUUCCGCAAUGGACGACAGUGUGACGGAGCAACGCGGCGUGAGUGAUGACGGCCUUCGAAUGGUAAAGCUCUGUUAAUCGGGAUGCAGUACCGGAAUAGAAAGCCACGGCUAACUACGUGCCAGCCGCCGCGGUAAUUC
rnacentral:rRNA from 1 species